rnacentral:rRNA from 1 species
UGAAGUCGGAAUUGCUAGUAAUCGCGGAUCAGCAUGCCGCGGUGAAUACGUUCCCGGGCCUUGUACACACCGCCCGUCACACCAUGAGAGCCGUCAAUGCCCGAAGUCCGUAGCCUAACCGCAAGGAGGGCGCGGCCGAAGGUGGGUUCGAUAAUUGGGGUGAAGUCGUAACAAGGUAUC